rnacentral:rRNA from 1 species
GGUGCGGUUAUUAGACCAAAAACCAAUCGGCAGUGGCAUUAGCUGCUGCCGUUCCAUUGGUGAACUCUGAGUAACUACAGCGAACCACACGGUCUCGUACCGGUGGUCUGUCGGUCAAGCAACUGCCUUAUCAGCUUGUCGUUAGGUUAUACGCCUAACGAGGCGUCAACGGGUAACGAACGAUUGGGGUCCGACAUCGGAGAGGGAGCCUGAGAAACGGCUACCACAUCUAAGGAAGGCAGCAGGCGCGCAAAUUACCCACUCCCGGCACGGGGAGGUAGUGACGAGAAAUAACGAUGCGGGGUUCAUGUGAAUUCUCGUAAUCGGAAUGAGUACACUUUAAAUCCUUUAACGAGGAGCUAUUGGAGGGCAAGUCUGGUGCCAGCAGCCGCGGUAAUUCCAGCUCCAAUAGCGUAUAUUAAUGCUGCUGCGGUUAAAAAGCUCGUAGUUGGAUCUGGGUUGACGGCGGGCGGUCCGCACUGUAUAUCGGUGUGAGAAUUCGCUGUACGCGUCGUUUUCUAAUGAAAUUAUACUGGACAGUAUGCCGGCGUUUAGUUUGUUAUAAGAGAAUAAAUA